UCUUAAUCUCAGAGCAUUCUUCUGCAUUCUUCUUCUUGAGUGAAUGGGAGAGCAGGUGGUAGUCGCUACGCAAUGCAAGUGGGUAGAGAGCUCUAUACGAUGGUAUUGAGUUGCUGCGUUUGGCUGGCUGGUUCGCUGGACGUUGUCAAGUGUGGUCGUGUGACAAAGCACUAAGGCGAAUUGGAUGAUUCGAAGCAAAGCCGGGGAAAGAUCCAUGGCUUGAUGAUCUUGAAUGCUGGUGCCGCCGGCAGUGGGGAGCCGCUGAAAGUGGAAAAUGCAAGGAAUUCAUCACAAUAAUUUUGGUGGUUCAAUGAAUUCUUGCAGUUUGAUCUUCUCUUAUUAUUACGAGUGAAUUUUACAAGCGAACGCUUGAUGAUCCUGAAUGUUGGUGUUGCUGUGAGUAGGUUCAGCUCCAGCUAAUCCAAUGCACACCUCAGGAGAAUGCUGGUGCCGCUGGGAGUCGAUGCAGAAUGUUGGUGCCGUUGGAAGUGGGUGCAGCUCUAGCUCUUGCCACCGUAUAGGAAGCUAAUCCAAUGCACACCUCAGGAGGUAUGCCGUCGUAGGCAAAAGCCAUACCUGAGGAGGUAAAACACAAGUCAUGCAGCUCCAACUCUUGCCGCGGUGUCCAAUGCACACCUCAUGAGGUUUUGUCAGAUGAUGAGAAGAGGCCAUUGUAUAUGAUCAGUAUCAUUUUACAAAGAAUUAAGUUUUGGGCUGUCUUGCUCCAGAGCAAGCAAAUGAAUUCAUUUACAAUAUUUUUAUGACAAUCAAGCAAAUGAAUUUAUUUGCAAUAUUUUUAUGACAA